GUGCUGUUUCAGCAGCACAUAGUCUAAAAUUGGAAUGAUGUUGGGACUAAUGACCCCUGCAGAGGAUGAUAUGCUAAUUUGGGAAAUGUUCUUUGUUUGG
rnacentral:snRNA from 1 species